GGUAACAUGGUGUAAUGGUAGCACGUAACGUUGUGGUUGAAGGCGAAUGUGUCAACGCCGUUUUGGUCUGAGUUCGAUUCUCAGUGUUACCA
rnacentral:tRNA from 1 species